AAAAAAUUAACGACUGAUAGAAUCUACUUAGUUAGACUAGACCUAUGUCUAGACUAUGAUAGAAUUUUAAAUUACUGGAAGUCCACCUGAGUCCGCGUUGCCCUAACCCUAACGCUAGGACAGAAAUACUGGACGAAAUAGCUUUAACAUUAAUGGAUACAACAUUAAAUAUUACAUAACACAUUGUGUUAUUCUUCAAGUUCAACAUCCAAAAAAAUCAAAUAAAUUAUUAUCAAGUUCUUUUCUCAUGUUUUAGUAGGGGGUAUAAAUAUGGAACUCUUGUCUGGGUCAGAAUUCGACCAUCAUGUCAUGAAUUGACCGCGCUUGUUGCGUGUGUACAUGUAUGUGUCUAUGAGCGCCGCUCAGCGGCUAUGUACAGCGCUCAUGCAUUGGCUGUUCUGGGCAAAAAUCCGGCCCGCACUGUUCGGAUGCCAUAUGGUUUGGGAACUGGGAGUUUGCCGCAUAGCGGCAAGAGAGAAGGGGGAAAUAAUUUUGUAACCCUUGAGAGCGGCAACCGGCCCGGCCUGGCCGAGCGGCCCUCAUUAAAAAAUUGGCUCUGAAAAAGGGGGUCUUUGUAGCGGCACAUACCCGUGUCACCAAUAUAUGCGAGUACAUUGGGAUUUAUCAAUCGAAUCAUGUAUUUUGGAGGUGGAAAACUUUCAAUUGACGUCAAAGAAUUUGAAAUUAGGUAUUACAUAAAGGUAAUAAUUGAGUUCAAACCCAUAUAAAUUAUCAUUUGUUCAUUUUGGGGGAUUUUGUAUCAUAUAGUAAUGGGUGACAUUCAUGGAUUUUGAAUGCCAAUAUGCCAGGCGCGGUAAAAAAAAAAAUUGUUGCCAAUUUGAAUGAAAUGUAAAAAUCCAUGUCAAAAUUAUUAAUUGUCACUGUGUGUCAAAAUAGAAUAGUCAAAGUGGAUGAUUGAUAUGAUCAGUCUUGCUUCGAUAUUUAAUAUAAUAUCUUGUGCAUCUUUCUGGUCUUAGCGGUAAUUUUGACAUUGGAAUCAUUGCAAGGUCAAACUUUUUUGUUUUGCAUUGUUGUGGGUCAACCUAGAUACACGCACCCGCUAUUGCUUGCACCUACAUGUACAAAGCAUGAAGCUUAAUUCCUAUUCACUGUCGAAGCCUAUGUAACGACCCCGGUCCCGGCUUGUACAUUUCGAUAGCAACCGCUCAAACAAAUGCUUAACGCAGGGCAAUCAAGUGCUGUUGGAUUAUAUGCGAAUGUGUACUGUGCGCGUGCGUGGCCACGCACUGCGCAUUCCAACUUCGACAGCGAAUAUAGAACCAUAUGUCAAAAAAUGCUGAUUACAACGAUUUACCCUAGACCUCUAUAACAAAACAAAUUUCUGUUUAUUUGUGUUGUUGGCAUAGGGUUCUGCGUUGAACUGCUCGCGAAACACCCAACGAUGAACAUGCAGUAUCUGCAGAAACUUUGCAUGCUUUUUGGGUUGUCAAAAUAAUUUUCCUGAUUUUUUCAUUGGAUUGUAGACCAUGCAAGACUGGAUCUAUGACAAUUCCAUUGAGAAACAAAAAUAAGACAGGGAAAUUAAGUUCUAGAGGAAGCUUUGUAGGUGCACCGCUAUCGCAAGAGAUAGCGGGUGCGUGUAUCUACAUUGUAGGGUCAAACAGUCUUUUUUAACACAAUUUUUCUGACACAAUAUGAAAAAUAUGUACAUGUUUUUAUUUUCCUGCAGCAACUACUUGCCCAAGAAGACGAGCGAUGUGAGGAGUCGCGGUUGCAGGGCUAGGGCUUUUUUUUUCAAGCAUCAAGAUCAAGGAAAGAGUCACUGACAUGCUGACCAGAAGAAGACAUUGUGGUGUUGGAAAACCCAACCCCCUUGAGGUAGCAGCACAAUACACAGAGAAAGAAAAGGACCCUCCUCACUUCAUUGUCAAGCUGUUUGAGAACAAAGGAAGAGGGAUAGUGGCACAAAGAGACAUCUCAAAAGGGGAGUUUUUUGUUGG